CCGGAGUGACGUCACGGCGGGGGUGGGAGAGGAGCUGACAGGAGCCGGCUGCGAUUCCGGCUGGCGGCUUACAGCAAGCGGUGCUGGAGGAGAUACUCGAGGGCUUCAUCCACGUAGGACAGCUUCCCUUUGUGUUUAGUCCAUACUUUAAGAAAAUUCUGAUGAUCACCAUCAUCCCAACCUCCUUGCCUCCCCCCUGUUUGCUGCAGAAACCUUUCAAACUCUACAACUUCUGCAGAUUCCUGGAAGAGCAAACAAACCACAGAAGCAUCCGAAGACUGUAAGAGAAUCAUAAGCAAUAUUCAAAGGAACCUGUCUAUGAAGGAAAAUGUUUUAAAAUCUGUUUGCAUA